GGGAGCCCGGAGAUGGGAACUGAGACAAGGUCCUAGGCCNNACGGGGCGCAGCAGGCGCGAAAACUCCACAAUGCGCGAAAGCGUGAUGGGGUUACCCCGAGUGCCGUCCGAUAAGGAGGGCUUUUACCCAGUGUAAGGAGCUGGGGGAAUAAAGGGGGGGCAAGACUGGUGUCAGCCGCCGCGGUAAUACCAGCCCCCUGAGUGAUAGGGACAUUUAUUUAGCCUAAAGCGUCCGUAGCCGGCUUAGCAAGUCUUUCGUUAAANNUGACGAUUUAAUCGUUAGGCCGCGGGAGAUACUGCUAGGCUAGAGGGCGGGAGAGGUUGACGGUAGUNNUGGGGUAGGGGUGAAAUNNUAUAAUCCCAGGAGGACCACCAGUGGCGAAGGCGGUCAANNAGAACGCGCCUGACGGUGAGGGACGAAAGCUGGGGGAGCGAACCGGAUUAGACACCCGGGGGGACCCAGCCGUAAACGAUGCGGGUUAGGUGUUGGAUCAGCUACGAGCUGNNNCCGGUGCCGCAGAGAAGGAGUUAAGCCCGCCGUUUGGG
rnacentral:rRNA from 1 species